rnacentral:rRNA from 1 species
UCAGGCCUAACACUGCAAGUCGAGGGGUAGCAGGAUUAAGCUUGCUUAAUUGCAAAAAACCGGCGCACGGGUGCGUAACGCGUAUGCAACCUACCUUAUACUGGGGUAUAGCCCGGAGAAAUUCGGAUUAAUCCCCCAUAGUACUAAUGAAUCGCAUGGUUGAUUAGUUAAAGCGUCAGCGGUAGAAGAUGGGCAUGCGUCCUAUUAGCUAGGUGUUGAGGUAACGGCUCACCAUGGCUGCGAUAGGUAGGGGGCCUGAGAGGGUGGUCCCCCACUCUGGGAAUGAGACACGGACCAGACUCCUACGGGAGGCAGCAGUGAGGAA